rnacentral:rRNA from 1 species
CCUGGGGAGUACGGCCGCAAGGUUAAAACUCAAAUGAAUUGACGGGGGCCCGCACAAGCGGUGGAGCAUGUGGUUUAAUUCGAUGCAACGCGAAGAACCUUACCUACUCUUGACAUCCAGAGAACUUAGCAGAGAUGCUUUGGUGCCUUCGGGAACUCUGAGACAGGUGCUGCAUGGCUGUCGUCAGCUCGUGUUGUGAAAUGUUGGGUUAAGUCCCGCAACGAGCGCAACCCUUAUCCUUUGUUGCCAGCGGUUAGGCCGGGAACUCAAAGGAGACUGCCAGUGAUAAACUGGAGGAAGGUGGGGAUGACGUCAAGUCAUCAUGGCCCUUACGAGUAGGGCUACACACGUGCUACAAUGGCGCAUACAAAGAGAAGCGACCUCGCGAGAGCAAGCGGACCUCAUAAAGUGCGUCGUAGUCCGGAUUGGAGUCUGCAACUCGACUCCAUGAAGUCGGAAUCGCUAGUAAUCGUGGAUCAGAAUGCCACGGUGAAUACGUUCCCGGGCCUUGUACACACCGCCCGUCACACCAUGGGAGUGGGUUGCAAAAGAAGUAGGUAGCUUAACCUUCGGGAGGGCGCUUACCACUUUGUGAUUCAUGACUGGGGUGAAGUCGUAACAAGGUAACCGUAGGGGAACCUGCGGUUGGAUCACCUCCUUA